rnacentral:rRNA from 1 species
UACGUAGGGGGCAAGCGUUGUCCGGAUUUAGUUGGCGUAAAGAGCGUGUAGGCGGCCAGGUAGGUCUGCUGUGAAAACUCGAGGCCUUAACCUCGAGCUGUCGGCGGAAACCAUCUGGCUAGAGUCCGGAAGAGGAGAAUGGAAGUUCCCGGUGUAGCGGUGAAAUGCGUAGAUAUCGAGAGGAACACCUGCGGCGAAGGCGG